rnacentral:sRNA from 1 species
GCACCUGCCAAUUCAGGUGCCGGGAUUGGUCUCCUGAACAUGUCUUAUCGGCGACACAUGACGCGCUAGCGUCUUUUUU